rnacentral:misc_RNA from 1 species
AAGUCGUAACAAGGUUUCCGUAGGUGAACCUGCGGAAGGAUCAUUAACAAGAAGAAUAUUGGUUUACUGAGUGUUAGUUGGGAUGGUGGUUGGGAGACUGACUGUCAUGCUUUCUAACAUUCUUUUAUAUCAAACACUAAUGUGAAUAGGAAUAUGUGGCAAAAAUAAUGGAUGGAAUAAUAACCAUUUUUUAUUAAACUCUUUAAACCUCAAACAAAAGAUAAAAAACAAAAAUCCAAUGUCACAGUUGGAAAUAAAAAAGUAACAAAAUGAACAACUUUUAACAAUGGAUAUCUUGGUUCUCGC